UACGUAGGGUGCAAGCGUUAAUCGGAAUUACUGGGCGUAAAGCGUGCGCAGGCGGUUUGGUAAGACAGAUGUGAAAUCCCCGGGCUUAACCUGGGAAUUGCAUUUGUGACUGCCCGGCUAGAGUGUGUCAGAGGGGGGUAGAAUUCCACGUGUAGCAGUGAAAUGCGUAGAGAUGUGGAGGAAUACCGAUGGCGAAGGCAGCCCCCCUGGGAUAACACUGACGCUCAUGCACGAAAGCGUGGGGAGCAAACAGG
rnacentral:rRNA from 1 species